rnacentral:rRNA from 1 species
GUGCCAGCCGCCGCGGUAAUACGGAGGGUGCAAGCGUUGUUCGGAAUUAUUGGGCGUAAAGGGCGCGUAGGUGGUUGUGAUAGUCAGAUGUGAAAUCCUUCGGCUCAACCGAAGAACUGCAUCUGAAACUUCAUAGCUCGAGUACAGGAGAGGGAAACGGAAUUCCCGGUGUAGAGGUGAAAUUCGUAGAUAUCGGGAGGAACACCAGUGGCGAAGGCGGUUUCCUGGCCUGAUACUGACGCUGAGGCGCGAAAGCGUGGGGAGCAAACAGGAUUAGAUACCCUGGUAGUCCACGCGGUAAACGGUGAACACUAGGUGUGGGAGGUGUAAUACCUUCUGUGCCGAAGCUAACGCGUUAAGUGUUCCGCCUGGGAAGUACGGCCGCAAGGUUGAAACUCAAAUAAAUUGACGG